CCUGACUGCUAUCGGAUUGAUACUAAGCCAUGCGAGUCAUUGUAGUAAUACAAGGCAGACGGCUCAGUAACGCGUAGUCAACCUACCCUAUGGACGGGGAUAACCUCGGGAAACUGAGAAUAAUACCCGAUAGAACAUUAUGCCUGGAAUGGUUUAUGUUUCAAAUAAUUUAUUGCCGUAGGAUGGGACUGCGGCCUAUCAGUUUGUUGGUGAGGUAAUGGCCCACCAAGACUAUUACAGGUACGGGCUCUGAGAGGAGUAGCCCGGAGAUGGGUACUGAGACACGGACCCAGGCCCUAUGGGGCGCAGCAGGCGAGAAAACUUUGCAAUGUGCGAAAGCACGACAAGGUUAAUCCGAGUGGUUUCUGCUAAAGGAACCUUUUGUCAGUCCUAGAAACACUGGCGAAUAAGGGGUGGGCAAGUUCUGGUGUCAGCCGCCGCGGUAAAACCAGCACCUCAAGUGGUCAGGAUGAUUAUUGGGCCUAAAGCAUCCGUAGCCUGCUUUGUUAGUUUUCGGUUAAAUCCAUACGCUUAACGUAUGGGCUGCCGGGAAUACUGCAAAGCUAGGGAGUGGGAGAGGUAGACGGUACUCGGUAGGAAGGGGUAAAAUCCUUUGAUCUAUUGAUGACCACCUGUGGCGAAGGCGGUCUACCAGAACACGUCCGACGGUGAGGGAUGAAAGCUGGGGGAGCAAACCGGAUUAGAUACCCGGGUAGUCCCAGCUGUAAACUAUGCAAACUCGGUGAUGCAUUGGCUUGAUGCCAAUGCAGUGCCGCAGGGAAGCCGUUAAGUUUGCCGCCUGGGAAGUACGUACGCAAGUAUGAAACUUAAAGGAAUUGGCGGGGGAGCACCACAAGGGGUGAAGCCUGCGGUUC
rnacentral:rRNA from 1 species